GACGAACGCUGGCGGCGUGCUUAACACAUGCAAGUCGAACGGUGAAGCCCUUCGGGGUGGAUCAGUGGCGAACGGGUGAGUAACACGUGGGCAAUCUGCCCUGCACUCUGGGACAAGCCCUGGAAACGGGGGCUAAUACCGGAUAUGACCUGCUCCCGCAUGGGGGUGGGUGGAAAGCUCCGGCGGUGCAGGAUGAGCCCGCGGCCUAUCAGCUUGUUGGUGGGGUGAUGGCCUACCAAGGCGACGACGGGUAGCCGGCCUGAGAGGGCGACCGGCCACACUGGGACUGAGACACGGCCCAGACUCCUACGGGAGGCAGCAGUGGGGAAUAUUGCACAAUGGGCGCAAGCCUGAUGCAGCGACGCCGCGUGAGGGAUGACGGCCUUCGGGUUGUAAACCUCUUUCAGCAGGGAAGAAGCGCAAGUGACGGUACCUGCAGAAGAAGCACCGGCUAACUACGUGCCAGCAGCCGCCGCAGUAA
rnacentral:rRNA from 1 species